UACGGAGGAUGCAAGCGUUAUCCGGAAUCCUUGGGCGUAAAGCGUCCGCAGGUGGCAGUUCAAGUCUGCUGUCAAAGACUGGGGCUUAACCCUAGAAAGGCAGUGGAAACUGAACAGCUAGAGUGCGGUAGGGGUAGAGGGAAUUCCCGGUGUAGCGGUGAAAUGCGUAGAGAUCGGGAAGAACACCAGUGGCGAAAGCGCUCUGCUGGACCUGCACUGACACUGAGGGACGAAAGCUAGGGGAGCGAAUGGG
rnacentral:rRNA from 1 species